CGCCUGGUUUAUCAAAAACAUAGCUGGAAGAAAUCAUUUUCAGUGGCGCCUACCCAGUGAAUUUUUUCAACGGAUCUAGUUGUAUUAAAGUAGCGAAAUCAUUUGUCUUUUUAUUGAAGACCUGUAUGAACGGUCUAGACAGAAAGGAACUAUUUCAAAUUAAAAAAGAGAAUUUAAUAUUAAGGUGAAAAAUCCUAUAAAAAAGAGUGGGACGACAAGACCCUAUAGAAUUUUAUGAUUUUCAAUAUUAAUAAAGUAUCAGAAAUCAUUUUGUUGGGGCAACAUAGGAAAAAGCUUCCUAAACCAAAAGUUUUAUUAUGAUAAAAAAGAAAAUCCUUUAAAAGAAUUAAAAAAAAUUACCUUAGGGAUAACAGCGUAAUCUUCUUUGAGAGACCUUAUCGACAAGAAGGUUUGCGACCUCGAUGUUGGACUAAGAUAUCUUUUAAGUUGCAGAAGCUUAAAAAGUUAGCCUGUUCGGCUAUUAAAAUCUUACAUGAUCUGAGUUCAGACCGGAAU
rnacentral:rRNA from 1 species